rnacentral:lncRNA from 1 species
UUUGAUUUCUGUCUGAUGGUAGAAAUAUUCAACAGAACCUGACUGGGGAUAAAAGAGAUGACCAGUCUGUCUAGUAGUGCCAAUUUCUUCUGGGAAUAACUGGUUUUGCUGGGGAAUAGGAUUUGCAACCGGAUUUGUUAGAACGCAUGGUUAAACCUUAUCCUUGAUCCUAAAGUCUUUUAGUAAUUGCUAUUUCUAUUUUAUGCAUGUAUUUUUGGUAAACAUCAAUCAUAUUCAAAUGCAUAUAUUAAU